rnacentral:lncRNA from 1 species
ACUCGGGUGGGUUUCAGAGUAACCGGCAGCGCCCGCGCCCUGCCCCCCCCCCCCCGGGCCCCCCAGGAUCUGACGGGAGGGGGAGGGGGGCCCUCUCCCACACGGGGGCCACUCCUAGCCCCCGAAACUCGCUCCCCACGCGCUUGUGCCCAAGGAAGCAGGCAGAGGAAGCCCAGAAAGGGGCGCUUCCUGGAGUGAGUGGGGGCGCCCUGCCCCCUCCUGGGCCCCCCCCCGGCCCCCCAGGAUCUGACGGGAGGGGGAGGGGCUCUUGGAGAGGAGGGCACGGACCCCUGGGCCCUCUCCCACACGGGGGCCACUCCUAGCCCCCGAAACUCGCUCAUUGCCACGAUUGAAACUGUCUUUUGACUCUUCAUUUUUGACAUCCUCAAACUGCCUGGACAUCUCUUCUGUAACCCAAAGUCUUCGUUUCCCUGAAAAAACACCAGUGGACACAAAGGGAGGGCGAUUGAGCUGAUUGUCGCAGUUGGGGUUCAGAAUUGUUCUCUAAAGGGGCUCCCCAGAGGGGCUGCUCCCCGAGCUGCUUCGGGGUUGUAGGGGAGCCGGAAGUUGUGCUAAGUUGUGCUCCUCCAGGUGCAGAAGCUGAGGGAGUGGAAGAAAGGAGCUUUCUGCUCCCCUCCCCAGGAGGAGGGGCAGCCUCAGGCUUACAGCGUUCACGUUCCCAGCCAGCAAGCAGCCCAGAGACAGCCUGGGCAGUGAGAGGCAGUGACAGUGACAAGCUGCCUCCCUCCAGAACACAUGCAUACACAUGAGUGCGUCACAGAACUGUGGAGACAAAGCAGCUGUUGUCAAAAGAUGAAGCCUCUCUAUGGGACUGGUCCAGUUUGGAGCAAGCCAAGUGGAGACAAGAGAGUCUUGAGAGAAAGACACCAGCAAGAGAGAAAUAGUUCGGAGUUCCUGAAAUAUAACUGAGAACCCCAUCACAAGGUAAGACCGAGCACUUGCUGGUUUUUACUGGCUAUGGACUCAACUCCUGUCCAUCUCUCCGAGGUGAAAGCCACUGUGCCAGUUAUUCUGGUGACUGGAGUUCCUUGUUGAUUAGGACCUGUAUGUAACCUGUUACACAGGAAGUCUUUCCAUCACUCUUAUCUUUAGCAAUUUGAAGGCAGUGGUAUCCCAGACCUUUCAUC